AGAGUUUGAUCCUGGCUCAGGACGAACGCUGGCGGCGCGCUUAACACAUGCAAGUCGAGCGAUAACCAUGGCUUCGGCCAUGGGGAGAGCGGCGAACGGGUGAGUAACACGUGAGCGAUCUGCCCUCGACACUGGGAUAGCCCGGGGAAACCCGGAUUAAUACCGGAUAGCCUCUCGGGCCUACGGGUCCGUGAGAAAAGAUGGCUUCGGCUUUCGGUUGAGGAGGAGCUUGCGGCGGAUUAGCUUGUUGGUGAGGUAACGGCUCACCAAGGCGACGAUCCGUAGCUGGUCUGAGAGGACGAUCAGCCACACUGGGACUGAGACACGGCCCAGACUCCUACGGGAGGCAGCAGUGGGGAAUCUUGCGCAAUGGGCGAAAGCCUGACGCAGCGACGCCGCGUGAGGGAAGAAGGCCUUCGGGUUGUAAACCUCUUUCAGGAGGGACGAAGCUACUCGGGUUAAUAGCCCAGAGGGUGACGGUACCUCCAGAAUAAGCACCGGCUAACUACGUGCCAGCAGCCGCGGUAAUACGUAGGGUGCAAGCGUUAAUCGGAAUUACUGGGCGUAAAGCGUGCGCAGGCGGUUAUGUAAGACAGGUGUGAAAUCCCCGGGCUUUAACCUGGGAACUGCAUUUGUGACUGCAUAGCUAGAGUACGGUAGAGGGGGAUGGAAUUCCGCGUGUAGCAGUGAAAUGCGUAGAUAUGCGGAGGAACACCGAUGGCGAAGCAAUCCCCUGGACCUGUACUGACGCUCAUGCACGAAAGCGCGGGAGCAACAUGAUUAGAUACCCUGGUAAUCCACGCCCUAAACGAUGUCAACUGUUUGUGGGGUCUCACUGACUCAGUACCGAAGCUAAC
rnacentral:rRNA from 1 species